UACGGGGGGGGCAAGCGUUGUUCGGAAUUACUGGGCGUAAAGGGCUCGUAGGUGGCCAACUAAGUCAUACGUGAAAUCUCUGGGCUCAACCCAGAGUCUGCUUCCGAAACUGCUGUGCUUGAGUGUGGGAGAGGCGCGUGGAAUUGCAGGUGUAGCGGUGAAAUGCGUAGAUAUCUGCAGGAACACCCGUGGCGAAAGCGGCGCGCUGGACCACUACUGACGCUGAGGAACGAAAGCUAGGGGAGCAAACAGG
rnacentral:rRNA from 1 species